UUGUGAUUCUAUUGUGUGGAAAUUUGUAUUUAUAGACUCUUUUGAAGAUUUCCUUCUUUCUUAUUCUUUUUUGCAUGGGUUUAAGUUUUUGUAGAUAUUAAGGGGAUUGAGCAUAUUUAUUGUUGAAAAUACUGGUCAGGCCUGGCUCUGGAGAGCUACUUAGACUCUGGCCACCAGGGGGUGGUGCCUGCCAUGGCACCUUCUCGUGUGGCUGGGGGGUUAGCCCAGUCUUCCUCAAGUUCAGGAAUAAUCUUCCUCGAGUUCAGGAAUUUUCUUCCAAGGGGAUGGGCAGUCCCAGGCUGUAGUUAACUCACAUUUGACCUCAUCGUUUGGUAACUCAUCCAAUUCAAUUCCUGGAACUGGGCGACCCAAUCUGGGUCCCGUUUCUGGGGACAUGAAUAAUGCGGUUUUGAACAGUGUGGCAAACUCUGGACCAAGUGUCGGGGCAAGUUCUUUGGUGACAGAUGCAAAUUC
rnacentral:misc_RNA from 1 species